AAUCAACGCUGGCGGCGUGCCUAACACAUGCAAGUCGAACGCGAAAGGGACUUCGGUCCUGAGUAGAGUGGCGAACGGGUGAGUAACGCGUGGGUGACCUACCCUCGAGUGGGGGAUAACGUUCCGAAAGGGACGCUAAUACCGCAUGACAUUCCUGGUUUGAACACCGGGAAAUCAAAGCCGGGGACCGCAAGGCCUGG
rnacentral:rRNA from 1 species